CCUACGGGAGGCAGCAGUGAGGAAUAUUGGUCAAUGGACGAGAGUCUGAACCAGCCAAGUAGCGUGAAGGAUGACUGCCCUAUGGGUUGUAAACUUCUUUUUUAUGGGAAUAAAAUGUUCCACGUGUGGGAUUUUGUAUGUACCAUAUGAAUAAGGAUCGGCUAACUCCGUGCCAGCAGCCGCGGUAAUACGGAGGAUCCGAGCGUUAUCCGGAUUUAUUGGGUUUAAAGGGAGCGUAGGUGGAUUGUUAAGUCAGUUGUGAAAGUUUGCGGCUCAACCGUAAAAUUGCAGUUGAAACUGGCAGUCUUGAGUACAGUAGAGGUGGGCGGAAUUCGUGGUGUAGCGGUGAAAUGCUUAGAUAUCACGAAGAACUCCGAUUGCGAAGGCAGUUCACUGGACUGCAACUGACACUGAGGCUCGAAAGUGUGGGUAUCAAACAGGAUUAGAUACCCCUGUAGUC
rnacentral:rRNA from 1 species